CGGUGAGGGAUGAAAGGUGGGGGAGCAAACCGGAUUAGAUACCCCGGUAGUCCCAGCUGUAAACUAUGCAAACUCGGUGAUGCAUUGGCUUGAUGCCAAUGCAGUGCCGCAGGGAAGCCGUUAAGUUUGCCGCCUGGGAAGUACGUACGCAAGUAUGAAACUUAAAGGAAUUGGCGGGGGAGCACCACAAGGGGUGAAGCCUGCGGUUCAAUUGGAGUCAACGCCAGAAAUCUUACCCGGAGAGACAGCAGAAUGAAGGUCAAGCUGAAGACUUUACCAGACAAGCUGAGAGGUGGUGCAUGGCCGUCGCCAGCUCGUGCCGUGAGAUGUCCUGUUAAGUCAGGUAACGAGCGAGAUCCCUGCCUCUAGUUGCCACCAUUACUCUCAGGAGUAGUGGGGCGAAUUAGCGGGACCGCCGUAGUUAAUACGGAGGAAGGAAGGGGCCACGGCAGGUCAGUAUGCCCCGAAACUCUGGGGCCACACGCGGGCUGCAAUGGUAACGACAAUGUGUUCCGAAUCCGAAAGGAGGAGGUAAUCCAGAAACGUUACCACAGUUAUGACUGAGGGCUGCAACUCGCCCUCACGAAUAUGGAAUCCCUAGUAACUGCGUGUCAUUAUCGCGCGGUGAAUACGUCCCUGCUCCUUGCACACACCGCCCGUCGUUUCAUUGAAGUUUGCUUUAGCGAGGUGACGUCAUUUUGGCGUUAUCGAAUUUGA
rnacentral:rRNA from 1 species